rnacentral:rRNA from 1 species
GGAAUUUUGCCCAAUGGACGAAAGUCUGAGGCAGCAACUCCGCGUGAGGGAUGACGGCCUUCGGGUUGUAAACCUCUUUUCCCAGGGAAGAUCCAAGACGGUACCUGGGGAAUAAGCCACGGCUAACUACGUGCCAGCAGCCGCGGUAAUACGUAGGUGGCGAGCGUUGUCCGGAUUUACUGGGCGUAAAGCGCGCGCAGGCGGCUGGCCAAGUCCGAUGUGAAAGCUUCCGGCUUAACUGGAAAACAGCAUCGGAUACUGGUCGGCUGGAAGGUGGGAGAGGGUAGCGGAAUUCCCGGUGUAGUGGUGAAAUGCGUAGAUAUCGGGAGGAACACCAGUGGCGAAAGCGGCUACCUGGCCCACUCUUGACGCUGAGGCGCGAAAGCUAGGGGAGCGAAC